UACCAGCACACCGAGUGGUCGGGACGAUUAUUGGGCCUAAAGCAUCCGUAGCCGGUUCUACAAGUCUUCCGUUAAAUCCACCUGCUUAACAGAUGGGCUGCGGAGGAUACUAUAGAGCUAGGAGGCGGGAGAGGCAAGCGGUACUUAGUGGGUAGGGGUAAAAUCCGUUGAUCCAUUGAAGACCACCAGUGGCGAAGGCGGCUUGCCAGAACGCACUCGACGGUGAGGGAUGAAAGCUGGGGGAGCAAACCGG
rnacentral:rRNA from 1 species